rnacentral:rRNA from 1 species
UACGUAGGGGGCAAGCGUUGUCCGGAUUUAUUGGGCGUAAAGAGCGUGUAGGCGGCCUGAAAGGUCAGCUGUGAAAACUCGAGGCUCAACCUCGAGACGUCGGUUGAAACCAUCUGGCUAGAGUCCGGAAGAGGAGAGUGGAAUUCCCGGUGUAGCGGUGAAAUGCGCAGAUAUCGGGAGGAACACCUAUGGCGAAGGCAGCUCGCUGGGACGUUACUGACGCUGAGACGCGAAAGCGUGGGGAGCAAACAGG